rnacentral:tRNA from 1 species
GGUGGCUCAGUGGUAGAGUGCUUGCCUUGCAUGCAUGAGGUCCUGGGUACUAUCUCUCAGCACCA